AGGUCCCACAACACAUGAGUGCUUGGCAGAGCCAAGGAACAGGAAGGGAAAUAGAGUGGCUGGAAGAGAAUGAGCAAAGGGAAGAAAUAAGUUUCAGAAGGUAUGUCUGGGACAAGAUCAGGACAUGUCUUACAGGCCAUGCACACGACUUAGAUUUUAUUCCAAGGUGAAAACCUACCUAUCAGAGUGUUUUGAACUGAGGAAUGUCUAUGAUUCGACACGAAUUCUGAAGAGAUUUCUCUCUUUUCUCUGUGGAAGAUAGACUCCUAGGGAGCAAGAGUAGAAGCAGAGAGACCAAUAAAUGAGGCCACUGUGCUAACCUAAGUGAGAGCACAUCAUGGCUCGGACUUGGGUGAGAGCAGUGGAGAAGGUGGGAGGGCCAGAUUUUGGAAGGGGGCCUGUGUAUUUGCAGAGAGCGUUGGCAGUAUUUGAAGAUGAGAGGUGUGAGAAAAAGAGAGGAAUCAAGAGUAAUUUCCAGGUUCCUGGCUUGGGCAAACUGGACUAGAGUUGCCAUUUACUGACAUGGGGAAGACUGGGAGAAGAGCCUGGUUUUGAGGUGAAAUAAAUAACAGUUCUGGACCUUCACUGAACAGCAACAGAUAUUUGGAGGUCAAGGUAGAAGAGAGUCUAAUAAACGAUAUAUUGCAAUAAACAAGCCAGACAUCCUAGUGGUGUCUACCACGAUGCUUUGGUGGAGGUGGCUAGAAGUGGUUUACUUCCAAUUAUAUGUUGGUGUUAAGGACAAUAAGACUUGUUAAAUGGAUUGGGUGCUAAGUA
rnacentral:lncRNA from 1 species